rfam:Populus trichocarpa isolate Nisqually-1 chromosome 19, whole genome shotgun sequence.
UAGUUUAUUUGGUUCAGAUCCUCAUCUAGUAGUGUCAGAUCUUCACUUGAAUACUCAUACAUUUUAGUUUCUAUAAGUCUGGCUGUAUCAUAGGUCCUCGUACACUUGACCUUUAAAGUCAAAUCAUAGCUUAGAAACUAAAAA